AUGACAACAUUCUCCAACAAUAAAUCUCUUCUGGACAACAAAGAGGCUGUAGAAGCCCUUGUGAACUGUGAAUUUGCACCUGAGAUCCAAACAUUGUACGGUCCAACGCUCUGCACCAGCUUCAGCCUGGCUCGCAUCCAGCUAGUCCUGGCCCUCAGCAAGACACUAAGAGACCUUCCAGAUCCAGAUCCUGAAGAUUCAUGUGCUGCAAUCUUAGUGGCGUCUGAGUUCAGCGAACAGGAAAGACCGGACGAAGAACCAAAACCACUGAAGCAAAAACCUUUCACACUUUGUCAUGAAGGGAGUCAGCUCACAUCAGAAAGAAUUAAGAUGGUGUUACUGGAAGCAGCAUCUUCUCUGUUGACCUCCACCACAGAACAGCUGGUAUUGCUGGGCUGCAGUGAGGAGGAGAAGCUGGAGCUCACCGUGGAGUCCAGUCUUCUUAAAGCCAGCCUCCACCUACAGCAGGGACGUCCCAAACUCAGGUUUGUCAUCUGCUCGUUCAUAUGUCUCUGUUUGUGUAACCAACCUAAUAUUUUAUGGUUUCUCUUUAGUUUUGAGGCAGCAGUUUCAUCUUUAGUCCUUCUACAAACAUCACCUGUGACUAUUGGAGCGUCCGACUCUAAACUUACAGAGGUUUUACAAGUUACAAUUACCACACAAAUCUGAUUGUAUUCAAGCUCGAAGACCCCAGACUGAGACCUCUCAUUCUUUUCAGACUCAGUUUUCAUGUUUUUUUCUGUGUUCUGUGUAAAGGGCCCAGUGACGGACAGUCAGUCCAGAGACUGUCCUGGAGCUGCCGGGGCAGCCGAGAGAAUCGGUCCAUCUCUGUGGCUGCGUUGCCGCCUGGCUCUGGUACAAAGCCUGGUUGCCAGUAUCCAUGCAAAUGCAACUCUUCUCCCAGGUUUGGGUUCUGUGUGUUUUUGUUGAUGCUCUCUCUGUCUCAGGGGUCGUGAGCUUUAAUUCUGUCAAGAUUCCUCUGAACAAAAGUCACUUUUUCCUAUCCAGAAGUCCACAAACAGAAGUUUGAAAAAUGACCAAAACUCACAUUUUUAAUAUUUUUUCCAGCGACUUAAAGACCCACUCCAAUGAAAAUGCAAUUGUUGGUGUUUUUAACAUGUUUUUGUAGCAUUUUUCUCUUGAUGGAGGACAUACAUAAAGAAGUUCAAGCUUAAAAUAUUAUUUCUACUGUGUUGUAGAUCAGGAGCAAUUGAAAAAGUGCUGUUUGAAAAAGAUUGAAUUUGUGACGUAGAAAAUCUCUCAUCAAUAAGGAGGGGUUAGGGGGGCGGGGUUGCUCUGUGCUGACAGUCCCACCCACAACUCACUGAUGAAUUUCUAAUGAACUCCUGCUGCUCUGCAGAAAUUAUAUCCUUGAAAACUAUGCAGUUUUUGGAUAAAACGGCAUAAUCACAAUUAAAAGACCACUGAAAAUGCUUUGAAAAUAGAUCAGAAGAGGAUCGGAGUGGGACUUUAAAUGUCCUAAAAUUCAACUAAACUCUUUGAUUCACUGACAGAGAUCAGAUUUGUCUUGAACUCUGAUUUCAAGGUAAGAACAUCAAUGAAGAGACGGCGCGGCUGCUGCGGGAGGGUAUUGAGGAGUGCGUUCGAUGGGGAGACCGUGACACUCAGGCUGUACUGCUGAUGGAAUCUGCAGAGCUGGAAGCACUGAGAGGAAAGACACAAGAGAGUGUAGCGGUGCUGCAGGUACCUCAACCACAGAAAAGCUACAACCUACUGUUGACUCUGACUGAAAACAAUGUUCUAAUUUCUUGUUGGAUUUAUUCACCGUUUUUGAAAUCAAUUUUGGGACGUGAUUGUACAUUUUUCAAGAGAAACAGACAAAUGUUUUAUUUUCUAUGUGAUUUCCCCUUCACAUUUUACACAAAGCUCCUUUUAAAACCUUUUAAGAUCUUGUUGAUGUUUGAGGUCCAGAAACAUGGUCAUCAUGUGAAACAGUUAGACUGCUCUAAAUGUUCUGUUCCAUCACUCGUGUGAGCAGGAAGCAGUGGCUCUGCUGUCGGACCGCGCCUACAUGCCUCCAGGCUCCAUGCUGACUUUAGCUCGAGCUGCUUUGCUGCUCAAUGACAUUCGAGAACAUCAGAGCUCCUCACUCCUCCAGGUCACGAGGAAGCUGUUGGACAUGCAGGUGCAGUCACACUAGAGAAAAUUUACUCGAUCUCUACAUUUAUCUCCCGUCAGCUUUUUUGCAAAAGCAGAGGAAAAAAACUGUAAUUUUCUUGCAUUUUUCUGCAUCUUCUUCAGAUGCGUCUGUUUGGUCAGAGUGUGGAUGACAACGUGGAUGUCUGCCCUCCUGGCUCUAGCAACAUUUACCUCCCUUACAUCACCAUGCUGAAGGAAAUCACUUUGAGGAUUGGUAAACCACCAAUAUACAAACACAGAAAGCUAAUAGAAUAGAUUUUUAUUACAACUCUAAUGGUAAAUUUUGAUUGAAAAAAAAUGUUUAAACCAUCGUUUCCUGCAUUUGUUAAAAGCUAUCUCCAGUUCAGUUUUGAUAGAAUAAAAAAAAAAGUGUAUUUUUUAUAUUUUGAAGUCUUGCACUGCAACUGUUUUUACAGAUUUCAUGGAGAAUUCUGACAACAAGGAACAGCUGACAUCUUCUCAAACUCUCCACCUAAUCUGAUGCCAAAGGGCUUUUAGUUCCAAGUGGAUUUUUUUCAUUUACUUUUUCUUGGAAAGCUUUGUUUGAACAACACAAUUCGCAAUUAGCGCGGGAUGUUUGAUGUUAUCAGUUUUACUGGGUUGCCAUAGAUGGGCAGGCUGUUGCAGCAAGAAGAAUUUCAAAAAAUGCAAAUAAAGUUGGAGAUGGUUCUCCUAUUGAUAGUUGAAGUGUUUUCAUGUAUUCAUGUACUUUUUUUCAAUCUGUUUUUUGACUGUCUUGUUGUUUAACCUCCCACGGAGAAGACAAAUAUCUUUUUUUUUAAGGUCUCAGAGUAAUUUAAAAUUUUCAAACAUUUUCAUUAGUGAUAGUGCAUUUUCACUUUGCAUACAUUUCAAAGAUUCUGUACAGUUUUUUUGUAGUUUUUUCUUAAACACUAUGAAGACUGGCCUGACUUUUUUGCAUUUUGAAGAAUGAAUGAAAAAUGUUGAAAUCAUUAAAAAAUAUUUAUAAUAUAG
rnacentral:lncRNA from 1 species